rnacentral:tRNA from 1 species
UCCCUGGUGGCUCAGAUGGUAAAGAAUCUGCCUGCAAGGCAGGAGACCCAGGUUCGAUCCCUGGGUUGGGAA